ACUACGGGUGGCAGCAGUGGGGAAUAUUGCACAAUGGGGGAAACCCUGAUGCAGCGACGCCGCGUGAAGGAAGAAGUAUGUCGGUAUGUAAACUUCUAGCAGCAGGGAAGAAAAUGACGGUACCUGACUAAGAAGCCCCGGCUAACUACGUGCCAGCAGCCGCGGUAAUACGUAGGGGGCAAGCGUUCUCCGGAUUUACUGGGUGUAAAGGGAGCGUAGGCGGUUUAGCAAGUAAGAAGUGAAAGCCCGGGGCUCAACUCCGGGACUGCUUUUGAAACUGUUGAACUAGAUUGCAGGAGAGGUAAGUGGAUUUCCUCGUGUAGCGGUGACCUGCGUAGAUCUUAGGAGGACCCCCGGUGGCG
rnacentral:rRNA from 1 species